UGGCGAACGGGUGAGUAACACGUGAGUAACCUGCCCUUAACUCUGGGAUAAGCCUGGGAAACUGGGUCUAAUACCGGAUAGGAGCGUCCACCGCAUGGUGGGUGUUGGAAAGAUUUAUCGGUUUUGGAUGGACUCGCGGCCUAUCAGCUUGUUGGUGAGGUAAUGGCUCACCAAGGCGACGACGGGUAGCCGGCCUGAGAGGGUGACCGGCCACACUGGGACUGAGACACGGCCCAGACUCCUACGGGAGGCAGCAGUGGGGAAUAUUGCACAAUGGGCGCAAGCCUGAUGCAGCGACGCCGCGUGAGGGAUGACGGCCUUCGGGUUGUAAACCUCUUUCAGUAGGGAAGAAGCGAAAGUGACGGUACCUGCAGAAGAAGCACCGGCUAACUACGUGCCAGCAGCCGCGGUAAUACGUAGGGUGCGAGCGUUAUCCGGAAUUAUUGGGCGUAAAGAGCUCGUAGGCGGUUUGUCGCGUCUGUCGUGAAAGUCCGGGGCUUAACCCCGGAUCUGCGGUGGGUACGGGCAGACUAGAGUGCAGUAGGGGAGACUGGAAUUCCUGGUGUAGCGGUGGAAUGCGCAGAUAUCAGGAGGAACACCGAUGGCGAAGGCAGGUCUCUGGGCUGUAACUGACGCUGAGGAGCGAAAGCAUGGGGAGCGAACAGGAUUAGAUACCCUGGUAGUCCAUGCCGUAAACGUUGGGCACUAGGUGUGGGGACCAUUCCACGGUUUCCGCGCCGCAGCUAACGCAUUAAGUGCCCCGCCUGGGGAGUACGGCCGCAAGGCUAAAACUCAAAGGAAUUGACGGGGGCCCGCACAAGCGGCGGAGCAUGCGGAUUAAUUCGAUGCAACGCGAAGAACCUUACCAAGGCUUGACAUGUUCUCGAUCGCCGUAGAGAUACGGUUUCCCCUUUGGGGCGGGUUCACAGGUGGUGCAUGGUUGUCGUCAGCUCGUGUCGUGAGAUGUUGGGUUAAGUCCCGCAACGAGCGCAACCCUCGUUCCAUGUUGCCAGCACGUCGUGGUGGGGACUCAUGGGAGACUGCCGGGGUCAACUCGGAGGAAGGUGAGGACGACGUCAAAUCAUCAUGCCCCUUAUGUCUUGGGCUUCACGCAUGCUACAAUGGCCGGUACAAUGGGUUGCGAUACUGUGAGGUGGAGCUAAUCCCAAAAAGCCGGUCUCAGUUCGGAUUGGGGUCUGCAACUCGACCCCAUGAAGUCGGAGUCGCUAGUAAUCGCAGAUCAGCACGCUGCGGUGAAUACGUUCC
rnacentral:rRNA from 1 species